UACGGAGGGUGCGAGCGUUAAUCGGAAUUACUGGGCGUAAAGCGCACGCAGGCGGUUUGUUAAGCUAGAUGUGAAAGCCCCGGGCUCAACCUGGGAUGGUCAUUUAGAACUGGCAGACUAGAGUCUUGGAGAGGGGAGUGGAAUUCCAGGUGUAGCGGUGAAAUGCGUAGAUACCUGGAGGAACUUCAGUGGCGAAGGCGACUCCCUGGCCAAAGACUGACGCUCAUGUGCGAAAGUGUGGGUAGCGAACAGG
rnacentral:rRNA from 1 species